GAAGGAGAAUGAAAUCGAUUGCGUAACUUAAUCUUGUACGAAGCACGUGCGAACUCACGAGGACUUUGACAGGAGCGGGUGUUGUUGUUGGGAUUGAGGAAUGAGGGGUGUAGGGUGGAACCCCGAUCAGCUGGUAAUUACUUAUUCAUGUGUGUUUUCGUUUUGCUUUUGUUAUACAUUCGUCGAAGUAGUAAGAGGGACAUCCUCUUUCGAGAUCGCAUCUAUCGAUUCAAAUGGCGAGGAAAUAAUAGGGUGUAGCUUUAAAUCAAUUAGUUUUACGAAGCGGUAAAAUCCUUCUUCUCCUCCUCUUGCGGUCCAUAAAGAUUAAAGACCUGCACGUCCCUCGCAACCCCAAUCCGAGAAGAAAGAAUCCACCCUCGUUUCGCGAAAGCAAAAAGGUAGGAAGGAGAUGAACGAAAGCAGAUGGAUGAAACGCUUGCGCUCUUGCCAGCAGAAACAGAAGCAGUAGCAGCAGCAGCAGCAUCCCGACGUCUAUUAUCCGCUUGUAUCAUCUCGCAGAUUCGAUCGGUACGGAUGCAACCAGCAUCUCUCGAGAACAACAAAAGCGACGCGCAUCAAACAAAACAAAGUGCCAACAACAACAACAAAAGUUAGUUGUUGCCUUAGUUACGAUUCAAGUGCGAGCGUGAAAGGAAGCGAAGUUUGGAAUUUUUGCGAGAUUAUCUUUGAGAGUCCGAAAUCGCGUUUACAGAAAUAAUGACGGAAGUGCAAGGGAUGAACGUCGCUUUGGAGAGAGUCUCUUUAGGAUCCAACAAUCACG